rnacentral:lncRNA from 1 species
GAAGAUUUACAGAAGCCGAGACCCACAGCUCUUUUUAUCAGUUUCCACCUCAAAAUAUGUUCCCAUAAAAAAUUUUGAAGCAUUUGGGUACAAAGAGACUGGAAAGCGGUUGGAUGAUUUUGACCUGCCACACUAGUGUGCGCUCUCCAUCCCUGCAGCAAGCAUUUCACUUGCAGAAGAUGCUGUGCCUUGGAAUAUUCCCUCCUCACCUGGGGCUAUAUGAAGUGCUUAUGCAUAUGUACAUUGUUUAUUUUAGAUUUUUUGCAAUUCCUUUUAAAUAAACCAGUGAGAAGGAUCUGAG